rnacentral:rRNA from 1 species
AGUGAACGCUGGCGGUAGGCCUAACACAUGCAAGUCGAACGGCAGCACAGUAAGAGCUUGCUCUUAUGGGUGGCGAGUGGCGGACGGGUGAGGAAUACAUCGGAAUCUACUUUUUCGUGGGGGAUAACGUAGGGAAACUUACGCUAAUACCGCAUACGCCCUACGGGGGAAAGGGGGGGAUCUUCGGACCUCUCGCUAUC